GGCUACGGCCAUGCUACCCUGAACAAGCCUGAUCCCAUCUGAUCUCAGAAGCUAAGCAGGUUCAGGCCUGGUUAGUACUUGGAUGAGAGACCACCUAGGAAGACCAGGUGCUGUAGGCG
rnacentral:rRNA from 1 species